AGGGAAAGAGGGAGGGAAGGGGAGGACGGAGGCCGCUGGGGUGCGAAGGGAUGGCGGAGGGGGUAGAGGGAAGGGUGGGGUGGGGGGGGUGAGGAGAGAAGGGGUUGAUCCGCCUGCGCCGGGGAGGCGCGAGGGAACGAAUGUGGGGCGGAGAGUGGAGGAGGAUUAAAAAAAAAAAAAAAAAAAGAGAGAAGAAGAAGAAAAAGCCCAGGGGAAGUCGAGGGCUGAAGGGUUACGGGAUUUAUGGCGGGGGUAAGGCGCUGGGGGGAGUGUGAGGUGAGGGGGCAGCGCCAUGACCCGCGGCCCGGCUGCCGGGGGCUGUUCGGGGUCCCUGGCCUUGGGGUCUGGAAGGGUCGUUGGUGUAGGGGCGUUAUUUGUGUGAGGAAGUUAUUUGUUUGAGGAAAUUAUUUAUGAGGGAGAGUUAUUUGUGAAGGGGGCAGCGGGCCCGGCGCUCCCCGGACCUGGCCUCAGGGGAGGCCCCGGGCACCCCCCUCACAUGCCGAGCUCUGCGGCCUGCCCUCCCGGGAGCGGAGGUUUUUCGUAGAACUAUAGAAUAUCCCGAGUUGGAAGGGACCCAUAUUUGUAUUUACAGCUUAACCCACGGUGAUGUGCUGCUGGUGCUGGGCCUUCUGGGGUUUUCAGGUGUGUGGGCAGCUCAAGGAAUAUAAUUCUAGAAAGCAUGGAUGAAAAAGAUCCAGUCUGUUUCACGUGCUGCCACUGCAAGAGUGUUUGCAUGUUUUCAUUAAAGGUUUUCAAAUCCCUAGGCGCUCUAGAAAUGCAAAGCUUUGCCGACAUGUCUCCUAUUUUUAAAUACUUUUGACUCCGAUGUGGUUAAUGGAAGGAAAUCCAAAGUAUUUGGGCCAAAAAAGUACUUGCAGCACUUGGGCCGAGCAGUUGUCUCCAUCUUAGUGAGUACAGAUAUUUUUGCGAGGCUCAGUGCUGCGUUCAGCCGCCUGUCUCCGGGAGCUGAAGGCGGCCGUGACGAUACCG